GCCAGACGCCUAUGACAUCGUUAAAAAGAGUUUAAAGGCUCGAAUGGACGCUGAAGAUAGUAGGAAGAGUCGAGGUAAUAUGAAGCCUAUUGCUCAUGACGUUGUCAAGCAAGCGUUAAA